rnacentral:tRNA from 1 species
GGAUCAUGGCUCUGUGGUAGAGCAUGCGCUCGGUAUGCAGAAGGCCCCAGGUUCAAUUCCCGGCAUCUCCA